UAGGGAAUCUUCGGCAAUGGACGAAAGUCUGACCGAGCAACGCCGCGUGAGUGAAGAAGGUUUUCGGAUCGUAAAACUCUGUUGUUAGAGAAGAACAAGGACGUUAGUAACUGAACGUCCCCUGACGGUAUCUAACCAGAAAGCCACGGCUAACUACGUGCCAGCAGCCGCGGUAAUACGUAGGUGGCAAGCGUUGUCCGGAUUUAUUGGGCGUAAAGCGAGCGCAGGCGGUUUCUUAAGUCUGAUGUGAAAGCCCCCGGCUCAACCGGGGAGGGUCAUUGGAAACUGGGUGACUUGAGUGCAGAAGAGUAGAGUGGAAUUCCAUGUGUAGCGGUGAAAUGCGUAGAUAUAUGGAGGAACACCAGUGGCGAAGGCGGCUCUCUGGUCUGUAACUGACGCUGAGGCUCGAAAGCGUGGGGAGCAAACAGG
rnacentral:rRNA from 1 species